AUGAACGCUGGCGGCGUGCCUAAUACAUGCAAGUCGAGCGAACAGAUGAGGAGCUUGCUCCUCUGACGUUAGCGGCGGACGGGUGAGUAACACGUGGAUAACCUACCUAUAAGACUGGGAUAACUUCGGGAAACCGGAGCUAAUACCGGAUAAUAUAUUGAACCGCAUGGUUCAAUAGUGAAAGACGGUUUUGCUGUCACUUAUAGAUGGAUCUGCGCCGCAUUAGCUAGUUGGUAAGGUAACGGCUUACCAAGGCAACGAUGCGUAGCCGACCUGAGAGGGUGAUCGGCCACACUGGAACUGAGACACGGUCCAGACUCCUACGGGAGGCAGCAGUAGGGAAUCUUCCGCAAAGGGCGAAAGCCUGACGGAGCAACGCCGCGUGAGUGAUGAAGGUCUUCGGAUCGUAAAACUCUGUUAUUAGGGAAGAACAAAUGUGUAAGUAACUAUGCACGUCUUGACGGUACCUAAUCAGAAAGCCACGGCUAACUACGUG
rnacentral:rRNA from 1 species